GGCCCUCGGUCUGUCCCGCGCCCCCGCCUCUAACCUCUCUUUGCUUUGGUGCCCUCUCUGCUUCCUGGCGCCUCCUCCUCCUCCUCCUCCUUCUUCCUCUCUCUGCUCCUCUCCGCUCGGCUCGGCCGGGGGGGGGGGGGGGGGGGGGGGGGGGGGGGGGGGGGGGGGGGGGGGGGGGGGGGGGGGGGGGGGGGGGGGGGGGGGGGGGGGGGCCGCUCGGCUCGGCCGGGGCAGCCCCGGGAGCGCGACGUCCUGCGGACCUUGCGGCUGCCCCGGGAGAAGGGCCGGAUGCGCUUCCACAAGCUGCAGAAUGUCCAGAUCGCCCUCAACUACCUGAAGCACCGGCAGGUGAAGCUGGUGAACAUCCGGAACGACGACAUCGCCGACGGCAACCCCAAACUGACGCUGGGGCUCA
rnacentral:lncRNA from 12 species